rnacentral:rRNA from 2 species
CUCAGAACGAACGCUGGCGGCAGGCUUAACACAUGCAAGUCGAGCGCCCCGCAAGGGGAGCGGCAGACGGGUGAGUAACGCGUGGGAAUCUACCUUUUGCUACGGAAUAACUCAGGGAAACUUGUGCUAAUACCGUAUGUGCCCUUCGGGGGAAAGAUUUAUCGGCAAAGGAUGAGCCCGCGUUGGAUUAGCUAGUUGGUGAGGUAAAGGCUCACCAAGGCGACGAUCCAUAGCUGGUCUGAGAGGAUGAUCAGCCACACUGGGACUGAGACACGGCCCAGACUCCUACGGGAGGCAGCAGUGGGGAAUAUUGGACAAUGGGCGCAAGCCUGAUCCAGCCAUGCCGCGUGAGUGAUGAAGGCCCUAGGGUUGUAAAGCUCUUUCACCGGUGAAGAUAAUGACGGUAACCGGAGAAGAAGCCCCGGCUAACUUCGUGCCAGCAGCCGCGGUAAUACGAAGGGGGCUAGCGUUGUUCGGAUUUACUGGGCGUAAAGCGCACGUAGGCGGAUUUUUAAGUCAGGGGUGAAAUCCCGGGGCUCAACCCCGGAACUGCCUUUGAUACUGGAAGUCUUGAGUAUGGUAGAGGUGAGUGGAAUUCCGAGUGUAGAGGUGAAAUUCGUAGAUAUUCGGAGGAACACCAGUGGCGAAGGCGGCUCAC